GGACUCGAUACAAUCCACGAGUGUCUCCUCCAUCUUCCUUGGUUUCCACCCUAAAUUCUUCAGCUUGUCCGAAGUGACUCCAACGUUAAAGUCCACAUCAACCAUCCUGCCAACCCAAAAUUUCGUAAUGAAAAUCCUUCGUAGUAUAUGAUAAGCAAGCUAUGACAUGGUGUUGAUAGUCUUGAUGCCAUGACACUUACUUGUCUGCAUAAGUGUAGCUAGGGUACAUGUUCUUCAUGAUUGCCAGCAAAUCCUUUAGGUCCACUUGGUCCAGUGAGCAUAUGUAUCUCUCAGAUGGCCCUGCCUUGUUGUACAACAGGAGCAAUGCGUCGGUAACAUCGCGAACGUCUACGAUGGGAAAGAACUUGUUGUUCAUCAUGUCAGGGCCUCCUGCGAUCGGACAUAUGAUGGAACUACAUUAGGCAUAAGGAUGUGUAUUUUAAAAGGUCAUUCUCUGAACUUCAUUAAAACCGGGGGUGUCUUAUUACACUAUUAAUAUAAAAGCCGAGGAGCUCCUCCGACGUCAAUUUUUGUUCUGAACUUCAUCGCUCUGCUGCACUUCGACAACAAAAACAGCAAAAUGGAAGGAAAACAACCGGCUUUGGUUUCCAAAAGUACUAACCACUAACCACAUGUGAUGUGUAGGGCUGGAAUUCGAGCCGAGUCGAGCCAGCUCGGCUCGACUCGCUAGAGCUCGUUUCGUUAACGAGCUAGCUCGACUCGACUCGUUGUUAUAACGAGCUCAAAUCCAAGAUUGGCUCGACUCGUAUAACUCGCAAGCUGGCUCUUUUAGCUUGUUAAGCUCAUUAAAGAUAUGAACAUAAAACGCUCAUAUAUUAUAAAAUGACUAUGUAUAUAUUAAACAUAUAUAUCACUAAACAAUAGUAAUUUGCUUGUAACGCAUGAGUCUGGGCCUUCAACGGCUAGGCCUUGUGUUGUGUGCCUGGGACAUAGGGUGCUGAAUGGCUGAUCUUUUUUUGUAUUGGGAGUGGCUGAUCUUUUGUACCGAGCCUAACGAGUUACACGAGUACUCGUGAGAUUGGCUCGUUUAACUUGGUCUAUAAACGAUCUUAAACUAAAGCUCGGCUUGCCUCGUUAUUCUUCGAGUUCGAGCCGAUUCGAGCCGAGUCACGAGCUACUCAUUUAGCUCGCGAGCUUCGAGCUUUUUUUCCAGCCCCAGUGAUGUGCAAUGUACAAAAUGAUUAUGUAUCCUUGUGAUAGAUGAGCUGAGGAGUGGAACCUUUUAUCAUGUAGACGAGGACCUUGCUGCUGGUAUUGACCGCCACAUGCUGCAAUAGAGGGCCGAAGACCAGACCAGGGCAAAGUGCGACGACGUGCAGCCCGUUCUUCUCUCCGUAUUCCAGGGCCGAAGACCGGACUAUCCAGACGGUUAAAUUUUGUGGAGCUUGCUUAAUGUCCUAACAUGCUUGGAUGUAUGAGGAAUAAGAUUUUACCUUGGAUAUGACCAUUUGUGUGAUUUAUUUGUAUGCAUGGUAGCAUGGGGGGACUAUCCAGACGGUUAAAUUUUGUGGAGCUUGCUUAAUGUCCUAACAUGCUCGGAUGUAUGAGGAAUAAGAUUUGAUCUUGGAUAUGACCAUUUGUGUGAUUUAUUUGUAUGCAUUGUAGCCCGUAGCAACGCACGGGUAUACUACUAGUGUUCAUAACUCUGCAGUCACUGCUUUUAGAGUACUCCUCCAGAGUCCGCUUUCUCUUGACGGAAGUGAGCACAAAUGCACAAUUUUUACAUUUGCAUCCAUCCUGAAUGGACUAGUGGAGGAGUCGAGAAAUAGAGACCUAACCCGUGCUUAUUUUUGCAAAACACAUUUCAUGAUGUUUCAGGCCAAAUGCAGAAUCAAUGGCACAAUUAUGGGAUCAUUCUCAUUCCUGGAUAGGCGGCAUUCGGUAGAUGAAUGGAAGCCGGCAUGGUUCUUCGUCUGUAACCCCAAGAAGCCCUGCUUUUUCAUAGGACUCGAUACAAUCCACGAGUGUCUCCUCCAUCUUCCUUGGUUUCCACCCUAAAUUGUUCAGCUUGUCCGAAGUGACUCCGACGUUAAAGUCCACAUCAACCAUCCUGCCAACCCAAAAUUUCGUAAUGAAAAUCCUUCGUAGUAUAUGAUAAGCAAGCUAUGACAUGGUGUUGAUAGUCUUGAUGCCAUGGCACUUACUUGUCUGCAUAAGUGUAGCUAGGGUACAUGUUCUUCAUGAUUGCCAGCAAAUCCUUUAGGUCCAUUUGGUCCAGUGAGCAUAUGUAUCUCUCAGAUGGCCCUGCCUUGUUGUACAACAGGAGCAAUGCGUCGGCAACAUCGCGAACGUCUACGAUGGGAAAGAACUUGUUGUUCAUCGUGUCAGGGCCUCCUGCGAUCGGACAUAUGAUGGAACUACAUUAGGCACAAGGAUGUGUAUUUUAAAAGGUCAUUCUCUGAACUUCAUUAAAACCGGGGGUGUCUUAUUACACUAUUAAUAUAAAAGCCGAGGAGCUCCUCCGGUGUCAAUUUUUGUUCUGAACUUCAUCGCUCUGCUGCACUUCGACAACAAAAACAGCAAAAUGGAAGGAAAACAACCGGCUUUGGUUACCAAAAGUACUAACCUCUAACCACAUGUGAUGUGCAAUGUACAAAAUGAUUAUGUAUCCUUGUGAUAGAUGAGCUGAGGAGUGGAACCUUUUAUCAUGUAGACGAGGACCUUGCUGCUGGUAUUGACCGCCACAUGCUGCAACAGAGGGCCGAAGACCAGACCAGGGCAAAGUGCGACGACGUGCAGCUCGUUCUUCUCUCCGUAUUCCAGGGCCGAAGACCGGACUAUCCAGACGGUUAAAUUUUGUGGAGCUUGCUUAAUGUCCUAACAUGCUCGGAUGUAUGAGGAAUAAGAUUUUACCUUGGAUAUGACCAUUUGUGUGAUUUAUUUGUAUGUAUUGUAGCCUGGGGGGACUAUCCAGACGGUUAAAUUUUGUGGAGCUUGCUUAAUGUCCUAACAUGCUCGGAUGUAUGAGGAAUAAAAUUUGACGUUGGAUAUGACCAUUUGUGUGAUUUAUUUGUAUGCAUUGUAGCCCGUAGCAACGCACGGGUGUACUACUAGUGUUCAUAACUCUGCAGUCACUACUUUUAGAGUACUCCUCCAGAGUCCGCUUUCUCUUGACGGAAGUGAGCACGAAUGCACAAUUUUUACAUUUGCAUCCAUCCUGAAUGGACUAGUGGAGGAGUCGAGAAAUAGAGACCUAACCCGUGCUUAUUUUUGCAAAACACAUUUCAUGAUGUUUCAGGCCAAAUGCAGAAUCAAUGGCACAAUUAUGGGAUCAUUCUCAUUCCUGGAUAGGCGGCAUUCGGUAGAUGAAUGGAAGCCGGCAUGGUUCGUCGUCUGUAACCCCAAGAAGCCCUGCUUUUUCAUAGGACUCGAUACAAUCCACGAGUGUCUCCUCCAUCUUCCUUGGUUUCCACCCUAAAUUGUUCAGCUUGUCCGAAGUGACUCCGACGUUAAAGUCCACAUCAACCAUCCUGCCAACCCAAAAUUUCGUAAUGAAAAUCCUUCGUAGUAUAUGAUAAGCAAGCUAUGACAUGGUGUUGAUAGUCUUGAUGCCAUGGCACUUACUUGUCUGCAUAAGUGUAGCUAGGGUACAUGUUCUUCAUGAUUGCCAGCAAAUCCUUUAGGUCCAUUUGGUCCAGUGAGCAUAUGUAUCUCUCAGAUGGCCCUGCCUUGUUGUACAACAGGAGCAAUGCGUCGGCAACAUCGCGAACGUCUACGAUGGGAAAGAACUUGUCGUUCAUCGUGUCAGGGCCUCCUGCGAUCGGACAUAUGAUGGAACUACAUUAGGCACAAGGAUGUGUAUUUUAAAAGGUCAUUCUCUGAACUUCAUUAAAACCGGGGGUGUUUUAUUACACUAUUAAUAUAAAAGCCGAGGAGCUCCUCCGGUGUCAAUUUUUGUUCUGAACUUCAUCGCUCUGCUGCACUUCGACAACAAAAACAGCAAAAUGGAAGGAAAACAACCGGCUUUGGUUACCAAAAGUACUAACCUCUAACCACAUGUGAUGUGCAAUGUACAAAAUGAUUAUGUAUCCUUGUGAUAGAUGAGCUGAGGAGUGGAACCUUUUAUCAUGUAGACGAGGACCUUGCUGCUGGUAUUGACCGCCACAUGCUGCAACAGAGGGCCGAAGACCAGACCAGGGCAAAGUGCGACGACGUGC
rnacentral:lncRNA from 1 species